rnacentral:rRNA from 1 species
UACGUAGGUGGCAAGCGUUGUCCGGAAUUAUUGGGCGUAAAGCGCGCGCAGGCGGUCCCUUAAGUCUGAUGUGAAAGCCCACGGCUCAACCGUGGAGGGUCAUUGGAAACUGGGGAGCUGUGAUACAGAAGAGGAAAGCGGAAUUCCACGUGUAGCGGUGAAAUGCGUAGAGAUGUGGAGGAACACCAGUGGCGAAGGCGGCUUUCUGGUCUGUAACUGACGCUGAGGCGCGAAAGCGUGGGGAGCAAACAGG